UUGAGUUUAGGUCUAUAUUGGUCGCACUUUGCACACGGCGGGAAACGUAACAUUUGGGGAAUCAACCUCCCUCCAAAAAAACUAGAGAUCAACCUUUUCACCCCACCCAAUUUCUUCUCAAAAACCCUAAAAAAAAAAAAAACACAAAACGAUGGAAGAGUGAUAGAUAGCUCAUCAAAUACCUUCUCUUUCCCCCAAAUUCACUCAAACCCCUCAUUCCAUGGCGUUCACUGCCAAAUCAGAUGUCGAAAUUGAAGUAGUAGAACCACUACACCAAGAGGACGAGAUUGAGAAGACCGACUCUCCGAUUCGCUACGCUCCUCUCUGCGACUUGUACUCCUCCACAUCCAACACCAUCAUGUCCAAAAAGGUAAAAGCCCGAAAGCUCAUCCACCACCACCACCACCACCACCACCACCACCCUUCUUACUUUCUCUCUCUCCUCCUCCAGCCGCCGAUAAUCCACGUCUACUCUCGCCGCCAUCCCAAGAGGAUUCGGCAUUGUCAGUCCAAUGGGUUGUCAUUGGCAGCAUUGAAAGUAGAUGUGAGAGAAGAAGAAAGAGUGGAGGAGGAGGAGGAUGAUGGUGUCGAGAGAUUGGUGCAGAAGAAAAAGCAGAAGACGAAAGGGAGGAGGUUUGGUAGGAGUGAGCUUGUUAGCUUGGGUGUUGAUUCGAGCGUGUUGCGACAGCUCGAUGAUGUGCCUCGGUUGAGAGAAUCCCGGAAUUUGAACUAUAGUAAUGUUAGACGGAGACGAAAGGGCGCUACUUUGGAGAAUUCCCAGAAUUUUGAUGAGACCCAAGUGGUUAAUUCUGCUGCUAAGAGAUGGGUUGGGUUGAGUUCUGAUGGUGUUGAUUCAAAGAAAUUCAUUGGAUUACAAUGCAAGAUUUACUGGCCUCUGGAUAAUGACUGGUAUAUGGGUCGAGUGGUUGGAUAUGACGCGGAGACUGAUAAGCAUCAUGUGUUAUACGAGGAUGGUGACAAAGAAAAUAUUAUUCUUUCAAAUGAGACAGUCAAGUUUUAUGUUUCUCAUGAUGAGUUGGAGCAGUUAAAUCUGAGUUGCAACAUUAAAACAUCAGAUAGAGAUAUUGAUUUCAAUGAGAUGGUUAUGUUGGCUGCUAGUUUUAAUGACUGCCACGAGCUUGGACCUGGGGAUAUCGUAUGGGCCAAAAUUACUGGUCAUGCUAUGUGGCCUGCAAUUGUUGUGGAUGAAUCUCUUCUUGGAAAUCGUAGAGGUUUAAACAGAAAUUCAGGAGGGAAAUCAUUUCCAGUGCAAUUUUUUGGUACCCAUGACUUUGCAAGGGUUAAUACGAAACAAGUUAACUCAUUUCUUAGAGGACUUCUCUCUUCUUUCCAUCUGAAGUGCAAGAAACCAAAUUUUGUACAAAGCUUGGAAGAAGCAAAAAUGUAUCUCAGUGAACAGAAGCUUCCAAAAAGAAUGCUAAGUAUGCAAAAUGGCAUUGAGUCUGAUGAUUGCGACAGUGCAAGUCAAGAAGAUGAAGAUAGUGCUGAUUCAGGUGAAGAUCGCAUAGAAGAUGAAGGGAUACAUAGAAAGCUAGAGGGCCUUGAAGCUUGCUCGUUUGAGAUAGGGGAUUUGCAAGUGAUAAGUCUUGGAAAGAUUGUUAAGGACUCGGAGUAUUUUCAGGAUGAGAGAUUUAUCUGGCCUGAAGGAUAUACUGCUGUGAGGAAGUUUCCUUCUGUAACAGAUCCAAGUGUUUGUGCCUUGUAUAAGAUGGAAGUCCUGAGAGAUGUUGACUCAAGGACCAGGCCUGUAUUUAGAGUUACAUUGGAUAAUGGAGAGCAGUUCAAAGGAUCCACUCCAUCUGCUUGCUGGAAUAAAAUCCACAAAAGGAUAAGGAAGAGACAAGACAGUUCUAAUGGUUUUAUAGCCAAAGGGGGAUUUGAGGGGAUCUUUGACUCUGGUUCUGAUAUGUUUGGUUUUUCUAAUCCUGAGGUUUUGAAACUUAUACAGGAAUUAUCAAAUUCGAAACUUCACUCAAAAUCCUCUUUGUCUAAGCUGACUUCUCGAAGAUUGCAAGAUCUGCCUAUUGGUUGCAGACCCGUUCAUGUUAAAUGGAAAGACCUUGAUAAGUGCAAUGUUUGUCACAUGGAUGAGGAAUACACAAAUAAUCUGUUUCUGCAGUGUGAUAAAUGCAGAAUGAUGGUUCAUGCUAAGUGCUACGGGGAAUUAGAGCCUGUUGAUGGGGUACUUUGGUUAUGUAACUUAUGUUGUCCGGGGGCUCCCAAGUUUCCUCCACGUUGCUGUCUUUGUCCUGUUAUAGGGGGUGCUAUGAAGCCUACAACAGAUGGACGCUGGGCUCAUCUUGCUUGUGCCAUAUGGAUACCAGAAACAUGCUUAUCUGAUAUCAAGAAAAUGGAGCCGAUUGAUGGGCUGAGUAGAAUCAAUAAGGACCGUUGGAAGCUUUUGUGUAGCAUCUGUGGUGUGUCUUAUGGAGCUUGCAUCCAGUGUUCGAACAAUACUUGUCGUGUGGCAUAUCAUCCACUUUGUGCACGUGCUGCUGGUUUUUGUGUUGAGCUUGAAGAUGAGGACAGACUACAUCUCAUUUCUAUGGAUGAUGAUGAUGAUGAUGAACAGUGCAUUCGGCUGCUUUCCUACUGCAAGAAGCACAGGCCACCUUCUAGCCGGCAUUUAACAGCUGAUGAUCAAAUUGUGCCAAUUGCCCGUCAAUAUUCAGACUACAGUCCUCCAUCAAACCCAUCUGGUUGUGCUCGCAGUGAGCCUUAUAAUUAUUUUGGGAGAAGAGGGAGGAAGGAACCCGAAGCUCUUGCUGCUGUAUCCUUGAAGCGAUUAUUUGUAGAGAAUAGACCUUACUUGAUUGGUGGAUGCUGCCAACAUGAUGCCCUGCGGAAUACACUAUCUUCUGCUGCACUUUCUGGUUCUAAAUUCUCCUUUGGCCUUCAAAAGCUAAAGACCUAUCAGCUUGAUGCUCCCAAGAGCAUAAUUUCUAUGGCUGAGAAAUACAAAUACAUGAGGGAAACCUUUAGAAAGAGACUGGCAUUUGGGAAAUCUGGAAUACAUGGAUUUGGAAUCUUUGCAAAACAACCACACAGAGCAGGAGACAUGGUGAUUGAAUACACAGGCGAAGUUGUUAGACCCUCAGUAGCUGACCGAAGAGAACACUUGAUAUACAAUUCAAUGGUGGGUGCUGGGACUUACAUGUUUCGUAUUGAUGAUGAGCGUGUCAUUGAUGCCACAAGGGCCGGAAGCAUUGCACAUUUAAUUAAUCACUCGUGCGAACCUAAUUGCUACUCAAGGGUUAUAAGUGUGAAUGGCGAUGAGCAUAUAAUUAUAUUUGCCAAAAGAGAUAUUGAACAUUGGGAAGAACUGACAUAUGAUUACAGAUUUUUUUCGAUUGACGAGCAGCUUGCUUGUUAUUGUGGUUUUCCAAGAUGCCGCGGUGUAGUAAAUGAUAUUGAAGCAGAGGUACAAGUGACAAAGCUGUAUGUACCACGCUGCGAAUUGAUAGAUUGGAGUGGAGAAUGAAAGAGAACUUUCUCGUCUUUGAUAUAUGCCCAAGUGAGAUCCUUCCAAUUCGGAGACAGACUGCGUUGCUCAACAAUCUGUUCCUCAUUGCCUGCCAUUUUCUCAAGGCAGAUAUAUGGUGAACUUAGAUAAGAUUAUAGAGGUUCAGUUCAGUGCUUGUAAUGUCCUCUCAGCAUUCUUUGUGCACCAGAGGAAGUGAUUGAGCUUCUUUGGUUUAGCUGUUUACAGUUGGCCUAAAUAUAUCAAACCUAAGGUUCUGCGAUCUCCACGAGUUUGGAUCUGUGAUCUCUCAGGUGCUUCCUCUACUGCCGAGUAUUGAAUUUAUGUUGAGAACUAGAAGUUCUUGAUCAACUUCAACAAAUGUAUCUCAUUAAAUUGUUGUAACUUAUCAGCAUUCCCACUUGCAAGAAUCUGCUUGCUUACAUUUUCAACCACAUUCUGUCAUGGUUGUGAUUUCAGGAGUGCGUGGGACAUUCUUAUGUGCAUUUUUAUACCUUCCUGAAUUUAAAGAAUGGAUACUCUCUGUUCAUCAAUGCCGGAAGCCAGCCACCAGCUUUCUGUGGGUGGUCAUAGCUGCAACACUCCUGGUGGUCUUAUUGCCCGUUUUCCCUGCCGCUGUGGUGGUCGUCUCCUUGGCGGUUGUUCUUGAGGCGGUUUUGGUGGUGGUUCAUCAGGUGGCUCGUUUGGUGGUUCUUCUUCAGGUGGUGGUGGUUCUUCUGGUGGAGGUGGUUCUAUUGGCGGUCCAUGAGGUGGUCGUCCUCUUGGUCCACGUGGUGGUCGUCUUCGUGGUGGCUGCGAUUGUCGACCUCAUGGUGGCGGAUCUUCUGGCGGUGGGGGUUCUUUUUGGUGGCUCUAUUGGCGGUCUGCAUGGUGGCCAUCUUUGUGGUGACAGAUCUUCUGGCCAUAGGGUUUCCUCAUCUGGCGUUUCUGUUGGUGGUGGUUGUCGUUGUAGUCGUCGAAGUCCUGUUGGUCGUCCUGGCCGUGGUCGUCCAUAUCGCAGCAGCCUAUAGGCUGCGGCAGUUGGUGUUCCAUAUCCUCUUGAGUUGAGGAGGCUAAUAAAUUAUCAUUGUCCCCAUGAUGAGACUCAUUAGCACCAUGAAAUUGAACAGUCGGCUUGUUUUCUAGUUGCCAAUCUUGAUGCUUAGCAAGAACUACUUGGCUUUCCUUAUUUAGGAGUUUAUUGCUAUGAUUGUUAUUAUGAGCAAUUGAGGGAAUGGUGACAAAUGCACCCCAAAAGAGCAAUACUAGCAAGUAUAUUAUGGUAGGCAAGGUUUCUAUGGUGCAAAGACUAAUCCAUUUUGUAUGUUUUUAUAGAGGUACAAACCAACUUUA